rnacentral:rRNA from 1 species
AGUGAACGCUGGCGGUAGGCCUAACGCAUGCAAGUCGAACGGCAGCACAGUAAGAGCUUGCUCUUACGGGUGGCGAGUGGCGGACGGGUGAGGAAUACAUCGGAAUCUACUUUUUCGUGGGGGAUAACGUAGGGAAACUUACGCUAAUACCGCAUACGACCUACGGGUGAAAGCAGGGGAUCUUCGGACCUUGCGCGAUUGAAUGAGCCGAUGUCGGAUUAGCUAGUUGGCGGGGUAAAGGCCCACCAAGGCGACGAUCCGUAGCUGGUCUGAGAGGAUGAUCAGCCACACUGGAACUGAGACACGAUCCAGACUCCUACGGGAGGCAGCAGUGGGGAAUAUUGGACAAUGGGCGCAAGCCUGAUCCAGCCAUACCGCGUGGGUGAAGAAGGCCUUCGGGUUGUAAAGCCCUUUUGUUGGGAAAGAAAAGCAGCAGGUUAAUACCCCGCUGUUCUGACGGUACCCAAAGAAUAAGCACCGGCUAACUUCGUG